GUAGUUAGUAAAUAAAUGGUGGAGCAGGACUUUUAAGUUUGGUAGUCUGCUAAUUUUUAGACACUGUGUUUCUUCCUCCCUUCUCUCAUAGUAAUCCCCAGUUCCUAACUAUAGGUGGGUAUUUCCACUUCUCUUCCCUGGAAAAGGGCCACACGCUGCUGAUAUUGUGGGUCACAGGGAGAGACAUCUACUUGAGGACAUACAAUCCCUGUCUGGCAGGGACCCAUAUUUGAAACUCAGUCCUCCUGAAGGUUCACUUACCUGAUCCCUCUGCUUCCAGCCAGCUCUUGCUGAUGGUGAGGAGCCUCAUUAUCUUAAGACAACACACAGUGGAGAUGUGCUUUACGUAAUUGGCCUGCCCUGUGAAAACCCCUGGCUGUUUUUUCAGAUAAGGAGACUGAAGCAUCUAGAGUUGGAGUAAUUUCCACAAGAUCACAGGAUUAUUCUAGGCACCUGAAUAGAACAGCCAGCCAGGAUGGCUUGUUCCUGCUCUCCUAUGCUUCUAUCAUUGGCAGUAAACUUGUGCAAACACUGGGAUCCCUGGAUACCAUGGUAAUUUCCCAGACUUUGAAAUUACCGUGGGUGGGGCCUGUCCCCAUGUCAUACUUCCCCUUUUUGAUACAAAGCAUGGAAUAGGAAGGAAAACAGGGUUCCACAGAACUUAUGUAGAGAAAUCCUAGGUUCUCAGGCUUAAAUGCCUCUGAGAUUGCAGGCUGGCAUGGCAGAAUUCAGAGUCUGAGCCUUUCAUCUUGAGCUGUAGCAGGACCACCCGCAGACAAAACUCCUCAGACACCGAGUUAAAGAAGGAAGGGGUUUAUUUGGCCGGGGCAUCGGCAAGA
rnacentral:lncRNA from 1 species